CUAAGACGAGCGCUGACAAGGUGCUUAAAGCCGACCAUUAUGCAAUGACACACCUACAUAAUUCUGAUCAGGAGGAAUUGGAGGUUUUUCUUAGUGUGAUGUAGUGCUAGGAUUUGUCUUUACUGCAUGACAUCACCUUCAAUAACAGAUGGCACAGACCAGCACAUAGCGCCUCUGAAUGCCUAUCCAGGCUCUGGUGAACAGAAUGAACUCUGCACAGGAUGAUUGGAAAAGCAGCCUGACCAAAUCUACUGCUGGCUGUUUACACCUCCCCACCAUCCAGUUAUGCUCUGUAAUGCAGACCUUUCCAGCCAGCACUCCUGUUUAAUUCUGUGCUUAUCAACUUAUCAGAUUUUUAAUUCUUGCGUCUAUGUCUAAGUGUGUGUGUAAUGUACUGCAAUUUGGUAGGAAUAUCUGACUGUUUUAACUUUGUUGGGACAUUUGGCUGGUCCCCAUGAGGAAGACUGCUUUUUUUAACUGCAGCGUUUACUUGAAAAACUAAAAGUGCCAAAAGGAUUCUUUGAAUUAAAUUAAAUUCAAUUUUAUUUGUAUAGCACAUUUAACAAUGGAUAUUGUCACAAAGCAGCUUUACAGAAAUAAAUACAUUCAAGCUAUACAUUUUAAAUGUAUGAAUUUAUCCCUAAUGAGCAAGCCAGGGGCAAUGGUGGCAAGGAAAAACUCCCUGAGAUGAUAUGAGGAAGAAACCUUGAGAGGAACCAGACUCAAAAGGGAACCCAUCCUCAUCUGGGUGACAACAGCUAGUGCAAUUAUAAAUAAAUCCCUUCUAUAACUGUGUACCACAUGGUCAAAUAGUGCAAUUGUGUAACCAGGAAAAUUCAUUACAGUUUUCACAUGAAAUCUGUUUGUUGAACCUAUCCACUGUUCACUGAUGGAGACUUGAGUGCAAAACUAUUUGUGGCAAUUGCUGUCCUAAAGCUAUCAUAGCAAUUGUAGUCCUAAGCCAUCAUUGCAUAACUGUUCAUAUUAAUUGUGGUACAAAGCCAUCUUCAUGGUUUGU